CGGGGGGUUUUAAACCUGCAAGCUCGAACGGGGUCCCGCAGUUCGCAAUACUGCCAAAGACCGAGUGGCGAACGGGUGCGAAAAAAGGGAGGAACUUGUCCCGGUCUCUGGAAUAACAGGUGGAAACACUUGCUAAUACCGGAUGGCGUCGGAAUACCGCAUGGUGAACUGACGAAAGGGCUACCGGACCGGGAGAGCCUCGCGGCCUAUCAGCUUGUUGGUGAGGUAACGGCUCACCAAGGCAUCGACGGGUAGCUGGUCUGAGAGGAUGAUCAGCCACACUGGGACUGAGACACGGCCCAGACUCCUACGGGAGGCAGCAGUGGGGAAUCUUGGACAAUGGGGGCAACCCUGAUCCAGCCAUGCCGCGUGAGCGAUGAAGGCCUUAGGGUUGUAAAGCUCUUUCAGCGGGGAAGAUAAUGACGGUACCCGCAGAAGAAGCCCCGGCUAACUCCGUGCCAGCAGCCGCGGUAAUA
rnacentral:rRNA from 1 species